AUGUUCGUAAAGCUACGCCGGCUGGUGGAUGGCUUGGCUUGGGAGCUUAAGAAGGUCGUGGCAAGCAGCGAUAUGCUCGGGGUAGGCGCAAGUAGCCUUUGAACCCGAGAUUGCCUAAUGCGACUUCGCUUCCUCUUCGGAGGAAGGUCCGUAAGGACAGGGAACCCGCUGAAUUGAAGCGUCUUAGUAAGCGGAGGAAGAGAUACGAGAGUAUGCCGUCAAUAGGGGCGACCGAACGCGGCACAGGGCGAUCCGAAUCGCUCCAGAAAUGGAAGCGAGAUGUGGCGCGCACGCAUUUCUUAACCGCGCGAGCGGAAGUGGACUGGAACGUCCCGCGACAAAGGGUGAUAGCCCCGUACGCGAACCGCGGAAGAAAAUUGUGCGCAGAGAGUACGGCUCCCCGGAUACGGAGUCGGAAGACGGCGCGAACCAAGCGCCAACCCUAAACACUACCCAAGUCCGAUAGUGAAUUAGUAUAGUGAUAGAACGCUGAAAAACAGGGGUAACACCCGGUGAAAAGAAUCUGAAGCCAGUCGGUUAUAGUCAGCUCGGGGCCCGCAAGCCGCAAGGCGGGGUCCCGGCGUCCGUUUCGAAGAACGGGGUAGGGAGUUCAUUUCAGUGGCGAGGCUAAGUCUCUUGCGAGACGGAGCCGAAGCGAAAGCGACUAGCGCGCAGGCAACGAGGCGCGCCGUGCGAAAGCGCGGGGAGUCACUGGGAUGAGACCAGAAGGGCGUUGAUCUAUUCCUGGGCAGGGUGAAGUCGAGCGAAAGCUCGACGGAGGCCCGCCUCCGGUGUUGUGCUACGCAUUCGGGCGACCUGGGAAUAGGGGUGAAAAGCCAAUCGAAACGCCAGAUAGCUGGUUCCUCUCGAAAUGAGUUAUAGCUCAGCCUCGGCGGAGACGUCAUGCGGGGUAGAGUUACUGAUUGAGGAGCAAAGGCGGGAAACUGCCAGCUCCGCUGUCAAACUCCGAAUCCGUGUGAGUCGUAGAAGCCGGGAGUGAGUGCACGUGGAUUAAGUUCGGUGCACGAAAGGGAGACAACCCAGACUGUGGUUAAGGUCCCUAAAUAUCUGCUAAGUCGGGAAGGUGGUCUCCAACCCAAAACAGCGGGGAGGUAGGCUUAGAAGCAGCCACCCUUUAAAAAGUUCGUAACAGAUUACCCGUCUAGGUUGGGGGCGCUGAAAAUGGACGGGGGUAAGCAGAUUACCGAUACCACAGACUACGUCUCAAGACGUUAGGUGUAGAGAGGCAUGCCGCGGGGACAGAAGCGGGGGCGAAAGCUCCUGUGGACCCUGCGGUAAGGAAAAUCCUACUGGUAGUAGCAGCGAACGUGGGUGAGAAUCCCACGCGCCUUAAGGGCCAGGGUUCCUCGGCUCUGUAGAUCAACCGAGGGUAAGCCGAUCCUAACGCGUACCUUAACCGAGUACGCGGAAAGGGAAGCCGGUUAAUAUUCCGGCGCCACUGGCGGUUCAUGUCGUUCAGGAAGCCUCAGGGUAUGCCGAGUAUGGCUGUCGCCUUAUCGGAUGUGCGAAACUGAUGGAGUUUCGUAAGGAAGAGAAGUUGGCGAAUCGCAUUCGGCCGCUCGUACGAGCGGUUCGGCAAACCCCCGGGGCCGGUGAAAGCAUAUGAAAAUCGCCGCGAUUUUCUAUUAUCCGGCGCAUAUGCCACCAGAGACUGGACGAUUAUACCGCCGUGUCCGUACCCAAAACCGAUACAGGUGCCCCUCGAUGAAUAGUCGAAGGCGUUGGGACAAUCCAGGUCAGGGAAAUCGGCAAUUUAGCCCCGUACGUUCGCUAUAAGGGGUGCCUGCCCUCGUGUGCUUGCAUGCGAGGGCAGGUCGCAGUGACAAGGAGGAACCGACUGUUUAACAAAAACGUAGCCGGCUGCUAGAUCGAAAGGUUGUGAAUAGCCGGUGAGGCCUGCCCAGUGCCGGUGUGUCAAAGUUGGUUUCAACCGACCUAAGCCCCGGUAAACGGCGGCGAUAACGAACAAAAGCCGAGCUUUUGAAAUUUCGGCGACGUUCGUCGCCAAAACUCUGAUCGUCUUAAGGUAGCGUAAACAUUGGCUCAUCUAGUAACUCUGACUAGAGAGCAAGUUUGCUACUUUAAGAGUCUUCGUGCAGAAGACGGUUAGACGCUGUUUAUUGGGAGACAUAUCGCACGGGCAACUCUUCGCACUCUGACAAAAGUGCGACCUUCAAGGGCAGUUUACAGGGAAUGAGCCAAUGGCGCAAUCCCUUGUCGAUUGAAUGUCGACCUGCAUGAAGGGCUUAACGAGUUCCCCACUGUCCCGACCUGGAGGCCAGCGAACCUGCCAUUCAAGUGAAUAAGCUUGAGACCCCUGAAGGGAAGAGGAGACCCCGUAGAGCUUUACUGCAGCCUGAUGCUGCUGUACGGUUUCUUUUACAGAGCGUAGGCGGGAGCCUUCGAAGCGUUUUCUCCGGAAGACGUGGAGGCGCCAAUGGAACACCGCCUAUUAGAGACCGUACGGCUUACGCGCUUGCGCGGACACCAUCAGGUGGGCAGUUUGACUGGGGCGGUACGCUGUUGAAAAGGCAUCAACAGCCCCCUAAGCUCAGCUCAUCCGGGUCGGAAAUCCGGAGUAGAGUGCAAGAGCAAAAGCUGGGUUGACUGGACCCCGAACAACGACGGGUCCAGAGGCGAAAGCCGGGUCUAGCGAAACUCUGUGUGCGCAUUGGUAGCGCCCAGAGAUAUGAGAAAAGUUACCUCGGGGAUAACCGGGUCGUAGUGGCCGAAAGCCCACAUUGACGCCACGUGUUGCUACAUCGCUGUCGGCUCAUCUCCUCCUGGCUGUGCAGCAAGACUUUUAGGAGAAGAAUCCUACUGGUUCUGCAUGCAGCCAAGGGUGAGGGUGUUCACCUAUUAAAGAGGUACGUUAGCUGGGUUCAGAACGUCGUGAGACAGUUUGGUCUAUAUCUUUCAGGGGUGUUUAGUGCCUGAGGGGAAGGAAGGAUUAGUACGAAAGGAACAUCCUUUCGACGCCACUGGUUUACCUGUUGUCCGACCGGGCAUUGCAGGGCAGCUACGCGUCAAUCGAUAAGGGCUGAAAGCAUCUAAGCUCGAAGCGAUCCUCAAAAAGAGGCACACGGCUCUCUUAGAAGAAGAGUUUGAUAGGCAUGGGGUGUAAGCGCGAAGCCUCGGCGACGCGUUCAGCCCGCGUGUACUAAUCGCCGGAAUUAUCUUGAA
rnacentral:rRNA from 1 species